rnacentral:tRNA from 1 species
UUAGACUUAGUUAAAUUAUAUAACAUUAAUUUGUCAAAUUAAAAUUAUUUGAAUGAAUAAUCUAAU